rnacentral:rRNA from 1 species
CUCACCCUUUCUUGUCCUCCCCGCCUAUAUACCGCCGUCGUCAGCUUACCCUGUAAAGGCCCCAUAGUAAGCAAAAUUGGCACAGCCCUAAACGUCAGGUCGAGGUGUAGCGAACGAAAGGGGAAGAAAUGGGCUACAUUCCCUGUCACAGGGAACAACGAAAGUCUCUAUGAAAUUAUAUUCUGAAGGAGGAUUUAGCAGUAAGUAAAAAACAGAGAGUUUUACUGAAGAUGGCCCCGAAGCGCGCACACACCGCCCGUCACUCUCCCCAAAUACCCUAACAACUUAACUAAAACAUAAAACAUAACAAGGGGAGGCAAGUCGUAACAUGGUAAGCGUACCGGAAGGUGCGCUUGGAAAAAC